rnacentral:rRNA from 1 species
CCUACGGGAGGCAGCAGUGGGGAAUCUUGCGCAAUGGGCGAAAGCCUGACGCAGCCAUGCCGCGUGAAUGAUGAAGGUCUUAGGAUUGUAAAAUUCUUUCACCGGGGACGAUAAUGACGGUACCCGGAGAAGAAGCCCCGGCUAACUUCGUGCCAGCAGCCGCGGUAAUACGAAGGGGGCUAGCGUUGCUCGGAAUUACUGGGCGUAAAGGGAGCGUAGGCGGAUAGUUUAGUCAGAGGUGAAAGCCCAGGGCUCAACCUUGGAAUUGCCUUUGAUACUGGCUAUCUUGAGUGUGGGAGAGGUUAGCGGAACUCCGAGUGUAGAGGUGAAAUUCGUAGAUAUUCGGAAGAACACCAGUGGCGAAGGCGGCUAACUGGCCCAUUACUGACGCUGAGGCUCGAAAGCGUGGGGAGACAAACAGGAUUAGAUACCCUGGUAGUCCACGCCGUAAACGAUGAGUGCUAGUUGUCGGCAUGNAUGCAUGUCGGUGACGCGAGCUACGACAUAAGUACACUCCGCCGUCGGGAGGUACGGUACGCGAAGAAGUUAAACUACAAUAGAAGUUAGACGGCGUGAGACGUAGCCGAACGGACGACGACGAGGGAGGUAGG